AUAUUUCUCUUUUUGUUUGUUUUUGAGAGAACGCAUGCAAUUUCAUUGUGGCCAUGCGGUUCAACCUUGGAUGUGGACCAUUCAUCAUUGGCACCUUUGAUGUGGACCAUCCAUUAUGGGGCCCACCAUCAAAAUAAAUUGUCUAUCAUAUGGGCCCACAUUCAAUAUGCAUUGCCUGUCAUGUGGAGCCCACCUUUGAUGUGGGUUGUCCAUCAUGUCGGGCAUGCCUUGGAUGUAGGUCAUUCAUCAUUAGGGGCCAACCUUUGGUGGGGCCCAACUUUAUGUGGGUCAUCCAUAAUGUGAGACCCACCUUUAAUGUUAUUGCCCAUCAUGUGGGGCCGCCUUUGAUAUCCACUACCCCUUCAUAUGGAGCCACCUUUGAUAUGGAUCGUCUAUUACGUGGGCCCCACCUCGAAUGUAGGUCAUCCAUUAUGCAAGGCCCACCUUGGAUGUGGGCCAUUUAUUAUUAGGGGCUAACCUUUGGUGUGGACCGUCCAUUAUGUGGAACCCACCUUCAAUGUUAUUGUCCAUCAUGCAGGGCCUGCCCUAGAUGUGGACCAUUCAUCAUUAGGGUCCCUGACCUUAACCGUCGCCCCCAAUGUCUUCCCUUGUUUUCCAAUAAAUCGUAGGUGCCCCGGCUAAUAGGAGUUGAGGAAGGAUCGACCAAAUUUCAACAUCAACAUGCUUCAUAACUUUUACCCAAAAUAAAGGUGGGGAUCGGAAUAAUACAGCCACUGUCUCUUACAACCAUUUAAUUAAGGAAUCUUACAGGGAAAGGGGAAAUUUUUCAAAUAUAAUUUUUCUCAUAUUUCUGUUGCCUUAGAUUGCCACAUGCAACAACAAUAUGGUAACUAAUGCACAAACUUUAAAGUAUAUAAUUGCAAACAAAAAAUACGUAAACAUAAGAAAAAUAAAGAGUAAUUGCUAAUCAAGCUAUUAAAGCAUAGAGAAUGUCCUAGCAACAAACCUGGAGCAAUGUAUCCGUAAGUUCCUGCAAAUGUAGUCCAAUUGGAUGAAUCAGCUAUCAGCAACCGUGCAGUGCCGAAAUCAGAGACACUAGCCUCAAGUUCCGAAUUCAACAAAACAUUUUUGCUCGAUAGGUCUCUAUGGACAAUUGGUGGGGUGCAAUCAUGGUGCAUGUAAGAUAAAGCAUGGGCCACACCGUUAAUAACCUUCACCCUUGUAGUCCAAUCCAACUGUGUAGCUCCUUCAUCGUUUCGUAGGAUGCUAGCCAAGCUUCCUCUUUCCAUGUACUCGUAGACUAGAAAUGAGCAUCGAGUAUGGGAACAAAAUCCAUAAAGCUUCACAAUGUUGCGCUGACUGACUUCUGUUAAUACUCAUAUCUCAUUUCUAAAAUUCUUUUGAUCAGAUUGAUCCCCACCUUCGAGUGGGUGAAGUUUCUUCACAUCUACAACCUGGCCCCUUUGGAGAUUUGCUUUAUAAACUUUCUCAUACCCUCCAAUUCCGAUGCAGUAUAUAUCGUCAAAACCCUCUGUUGCUUCCACGAUGUCUUCAAACACAAGAAUCCUAUCAUAAUUCCAUAUUGAAAAUGGAUUUCCACUGCUCCUUUCAAGAACCAAUUGCUCCAGAUUUCUUCUUCUUUGGUAACAAAUGGAAGAAAUGCCAACGACUACAAAUAAAAGAAAUAAGGCCACCAAUAAAGGAAGAAUAAUGAAGAUGACAACUUGGUGUCCUUCCCUUGCAUCACCAUAGCUUGUUGAAGGGCCAUUACAGGGUUUCAAACCUUGUGCUUCACCACAUAAGCCCUUGUUUUCUAUGAAUGCCUCCGCAAGAGCCUUCUGAAAGGUUUUGCUGCUAGGAAUAGGGCCUCCUAAAUCAUUGUAUGAAAAAUCUAUGGAUUGCAAGCUGAUCAUCCCUUCAAAAGAUUUCCGAAUUGAGCCAGACAACAUGUUGUAGGAGAGGUUUAACAUUUCCAGCAUUUGCAACUUCCUAAGUUGUGGUGAUAUCUCUCCAUUUAGCGAGUAAUGGCUAAGGUCUAAUGCAACCUGUAAUUGUAUCAUAUUGCCAAUUUGGAAUGGAAUGCUUCCAUCUAAAUCAUUUUCGCCCAAUUUUAGAUACCAGAGUUUGGAGCAAUCCCAUAAUUGAGGUGGUAUAGGACCACUUAGGUGAUUCAUUAACAAGUCAAAAACCUCUAAAUUGGAUAGUUUUUCAAUUUCUUGUGGUACCUGACCAGAAAGCUGGUUAUCAUUUAAACUUAAGUUGAAUAAAGAAGUCAGCCUCCCCAGUUCCUUUGGAAUCUCUCCCACCAGAUGGUUUGAAGAAAGACCAAGUACUCCUAGUUGUGUCAACUACCCAAUCUCGGGAGGAAUUCUACCGGUGAUCAUGUUCCCAAAGAAUUUUAGCAUUGUCAAAUUUUGGCAUUCUCCCCGGUUCGGUGAGAGUUCACCAAACAACCUGUUGUUGCUAACAUCUAUGAAUGUCAGAUGAGGGUAUACACUGAAGGCUUCUGAUACAUAUGCAGUGAGCGGGUUUCCUUCAAGCCGCACUCUAAUUAAUCUAGUGCAAUUUUGAGGCUUUUCAGGAUCUCACCAAUGAAAUGGUUGUCAAAUGCUGUGAAUGCUUCAAGAGAUCCACCAUUGCAGAACUGAGGUAGCCAGAGAAAUUUAUCAUGUUUGUCAUUUCUUGAGGCAAGGAACCAGAUAAUUGAUUGUAACCGAGGGAGAAAGUUACAAGGUUAGUCAAAUUCCCUAAAGUGGAAGGGAUCACAACAAGAAAAAGGGCCUUAGCCGACCGAUGGGCCAACCCUUUGCCAGCGGCCAGUUUUAACGGCUGCCGGCAGGGUCCGUAUAUAUAAAAAGAAAA